UCAGGACGAACGCGGGCGGCGUGCCUAACACAUGCAAGUCGAACGGGGUCCAUGAGGUACUUAUACUUCGGAAGAUCUAGUGGCGAACGGGUGAGUAACACGUGAGAAACCUGCCCCAGACUCUGGGAUAACACAAAGAAAUUUGUGCUAAUACCGGAUAUUCUCUUUCCCUCGCAUGGGGGGUUGAGGAAAGUUUUUCGGUUUGGGAGGGUCUCGCGGCCUAUCAGCUAGUUGGUGGGGUAAUGGCCUACCAAGGCAACGACGGGUAGCUGGUUUGAGAGAACGAUCAGCCACACUGGAACUGAGACACGGUCCAGACUCCUACGGGAGGCAGCAGUGGGGAAUCUUGCGCAAUGGGCGAAGGCCUGACGCAGCAACGCCGCGUGCGGGAUGAAGGCCUUCGGGUUGUAAACCGCUUUCAGCAGGGACGAAGACGACGGUACCUGCAGAAGAAGCUCCGGCUAACUACGUGCCAGCAGCCGCGGUAAAACGUAGGGAGCAAGCGUUGUCCGGAUUUAUUGGGCGUAAAGAGCUCAUAGGCGGUUUCGUAAGUCGAGUGUGAGAAAUCUGGGCUUAACCCAGUGGAGCACUUGAUACUGCGAUGACUUGAGUUUGGUAGAGGAGUGUGGAAUUCCUGGUGUAGCGGUGAAAUGCGCAGAUAUCAGGAGGAACACCGACGGCGAAGGCAGCACUCUGGGCCAGUACUGACGCUGAGGAGCGAAAGCGUGGGGAGCAAACAGGAUUAGAUACCCUGGUAGUCCACGCCGUAAACGUUGGGCACUAGGUGUGGGGAGGAAUCAACCCUUUCCGUGCCGUAGCUAACGCAUUAAGUGCCCCGCCUGGGGAGUACGGCCGCAAGGCUAAAACUCAAAGGAAUUGACGG
rnacentral:rRNA from 1 species